CAGCAGCCGCGGUAAUACGUAGGGUGCGAGCGUUAAUCGGAUUUACUGGGCGUAAAGCGUGCGCAGGCGGUCCUUUAAGUCUGAUGUGAAAGCCCACGGCUCAACCGUGGAGGGUCAUUGGAAACUGGGGGACUUGAGUGCAGGAGAGGAGAGCGGAAUUCCACGUGUAGCGGUGAAAUGCGUAGAGAUGUGGAGGAACACCAGUGGCGAAGGCGGCUCUCUGGCCUGUAACUGACGCUGAGGCGCGAAAGCGUGGGGAGCAAACAGGAUUAGAUACCCUGGUAGUCCACGCCGUAAACGAUGAGUGCUAAGUGUUAGAGGGGUCACACCCUUUAGUGCUGCAGCUAACGCGAUAAGCACUCCGCCUGGGGAGUACGGCCGCAAGGCUGAAACUUAAAGGAAUUGGCGGG
rnacentral:rRNA from 1 species